rnacentral:rRNA from 1 species
AUUGAACGCUGGCGGCAGGCCUAACACAUGCAAGUCGAGCGGUAGAGAGGUGCUUGCAUCUCUUGAGAGCGGCGGACGGGUGAGUAAUGCCUAGGAAUCUGCCUAGUGGUGGGGGAUAACGUUCGGAAACGGACGCUAAUACCGCAUACGUCCUACGGGAGAAAGCGGGGGAUCUUCGGACCUCGCGCCAUUAGAUGAGCCUAGGUCGGAUUAGCUAGUUGGUGAGGUAAUGGCUCACCAAGGCGACGAUCCAUAACUGGUCUGAGAGGAUGAUCAGUCACACUGGAACUGAGACACGGUCCAGACUCCUACGGGAGGCAGCAGUGGGGAAUAUUGGACAAUGGGCGAAAGCCUGAUCCAGCCAUGCCGCGUGUGUGAAGAAGGUCUUCGGAUUGUAAAGCACUUUAAGUUGGGAGGAAGGGUAGUAACCUAAUACGUUGCUACUUUGACGUUACCGACAG